AUUGAACGCUGGCGGCAUGCCUUACACAUGCAAGUCGAACGGUAACAGGUCUUCGGAUGCUGACGAGUGGCGAACGGGUGAGUAAUACAUCGGAACGUGCCCGAUCGUGGGGGAUAACGAGGCGAAAGCUUUGCUAAUACCGCAUACGAUCUACGGAUGAAAGCGGGGGAUCUUCGGACCUCGCGCGGACGGAGCGGCCGAUGGCAGAUUAGGUAGUUGGUGGGAUAAAAGCUUACCAAGCCGACGAUCUGUAGCUGGUCUGAGAGGAUGAUCAGCCACACUGGGACUGAGACACGGCCCAGACUCCUACGGGAGGCAGCAGUGGGGAAUUUUGGACAAUGGGCGAAAGCCUGAUCCAGCCAUGCCGCGUGCAGGAUGAAGGCCUUCGGGUUGUAAACUGCUUUUGUACGGAACGAAAAGCCUCUUUCUAAUAAAGAGGGGUCAUGACGGUACCGUAAGAAUAAGCACCGGCUAACUAGGUG
rnacentral:rRNA from 1 species